AGUUUUUUCCCCCCUCCUUAGGUGGGCAUUAUCAAUGCUCAGAGUUUCACAGAGUUUAACAUUCACAUUGGAGAUGUGAUAUUUUUCCCCACUGGAACCCAGCAUUACAUUAAGAGCACAUGCGAUGAGGAUUUGCUUCUCAUUCUUGCCUUCAGCACUGGAGACCAGUUGCAAACCCUUGACAUGGACGAUUAUCUCCAGGCCACCGCAGACCACAUCCUGGCUCAGCUUUUCUUCAAGAAGCAAAGUGAGUUUAAGAAGAUCCCCCAAUUUAAGGAAGACCAGGCAGUCAACCUGCCUUAGAUUUGCUGACGUGUUCAUACCUAUUUUUUUUUCUUCAUAUGUUAUUACUGUUUUUUAAAGAAGGUCCACUUGGCUCAUGAACUUGGAGCUCCUUACAGAGAGACAUUGGUCAAGCAGGUGUGAAAGCAGCCCCACGGGCUCAUUUAGCUAAGCUCAUAGGCAACUCGUGCUAAGCGAACAUUUCCGUGUACUCUGCAGCUUAUCUACAGAGGGGCUCUGCUCAAUUAAAUUACUAUUUUUUAAUGGAUUUUAGUAUGCAUGUAUAUAUUUAUUUUGCUUUUGUUGCAUCAGAUUUAUUACUCCAAAUGAAAAUCCAUUCUUUUUUUUGCACAUGAGUGAAACUUAGUGCCAUGCUUGUAUUUUUGCUAUUCAUCACUGUGGAAGGAAGUAUGGAGAUCAGCCUGCUUAUGUAUGUACAUACAGACGCAGCCAGAAGAAGCCAGGUGCAUCUAACCUUGUCUGGAGAGUUUAGUGUAGAAUCUUAGGUUAGCCACUCUCAAUGCUUUUGUCGACAUGAAGAUACUUUUUAUAAGGCUCAAAAUUUCAAGGACUCACACGAGUAGUUUACUUAUUGUAUAUUAGCUGAGAAAAUACUUAAUGGCAAACUAAUUAUAAAUUCAGUAUUUUCUUUGAAUGUAUUUGAAUUUUAUUAAUCACAUCACAGACUAUUUACUUUUGAGGAACAGUCAUCUGUAUAUUUGAGAAGCAAGUGUUUCUUUAGUCUAUUGGGUGGGUGUGUAUGUGGAUUUGAAGACUACUUUUCAUCACUUGGAAACUGGUAGGAGCUGGUGGUCUCUAAGUUGGGGGUCAUUGUCUUAAGUAGAAAAGAGUUUGUUCAAAUCUAACCAGUGCUUGAUUUUUCUUUGUUGUUUUGUCACUAAGUCAUUCUAACUCUUUGCGACCCCGUGGACUGUAGUCUACCAGGUUCAUCUGUCCAGUUUUCCUGGAAAGAAUACUGGAGUGGUUUGCCAUUUCCUCCUGCAGGGGAUCUUCUCAACCCAGGGAUCGAACCUGUGCUCCCUGCAUUGGCAGGCAGAUUCCUUACCACUGAGCCGCCA
rnacentral:lncRNA from 1 species